AGGCUGCCCUGCCUCUGCAUUUAUCACAAAAGCUGUAUAGACUCAUGGUUUGAAGUGAACAGAUCUUGCCCGGAGCAUCCUUCUGAUUGACCCGCCGGGCAUGCUUGCUGACUUCUCUCUAAGGGCACCUUGCUAUACCUGCUGUACCUCCUCUCCCCGCCCCCCCUGCCCCGCCUGGAGUUUUGGGCUGACUUUAAAUUCCUUGAGAAGACAAAAAUAAAACCCAGAAACUUGAAUCCACUUGGGACAACGGCGAAUUUUUUUAUUUUAUGUUAUUAUUUUUAUUUGUUUUGUUGUUUUUUGGGUUUUUUUGGGUUUUUUAAUUUAAAAGAUUUAAAAAAAAAAAAAACAUCCAGGAGAAGACAGUGUGAGAAAAGCGGAGCGACCCGCUCUCCCCUCCACAGCCGCUGGUCACCAGGAGAGCUCUGCCCGCCAGGGAGGCCCCGGGGACGCCCUUGGCCGAAACCCUGCCAUGAUGUUUGGCUUUUCUCCCCAAAACGAAGGGGAAAGCUGCCGGGGGACGGCCGGCCAAACGGAGCACGCGGCAUUUCUCACCGGCAACCCCCCCACCUCCCACCCGGACUUGCCCAGGGGCUCUGCUCGGUUUUUUUGCACUGACUAAAUGGGAAUUUUCUCCCUCUCUCCCGUCUCCCUUUUGGAGAUCUCCACCCCGACCCCGGCAGCGUGAGACGGGGACUCUGCCCCACGCCGGGAGCGGGGCCACUGCUCCCCCCUGCCGAGCUGCAGGGGUCCGUCUUUCAAGUGUUUACAACG